rnacentral:snRNA from 1 species
UCACUUUAGCAGUACAUAUACAAAAAUUGGAAUGAGGCAGAGAAGAUUAACAUGGCCCUUGCGCAAGGAUGACACACACUGCGCCUAAGGUUUAU